AGAAUCAACGCUGGCGGCGUGCCUAACACAUGCAAGUCGAACUAGAAAGUGGAGCAAUCCAUGAGUAAAGUGGCGCACGGGUGAGUAACACGUGACUAACCUACCCUCGAGUGGGGAAUAACCUCGGGAAACCGGGGCUAACACCGCAUAACAUCUACGGAUCAAAUGCGUAAGCAGCUUGAGGAGGGGGUCGCGGCUGAUUAGCUAGUUGGCGGGGUAAUGGCCCACCAAGGCAGUGAUCAGUA
rnacentral:rRNA from 1 species